CGAAUCUGCUCAAGCCCUAUGUCACCAGCAACCCCUCGGAGGAUGAGGAGGCUGUGGUCUUAACCUGUGAACCUGAGACUCAUGGCACAAUCUACAUGUGUUGGGUAAAUUGUCAUAAACUCACACUCAGUCCCAGGCUAAAGAUGUCCAAUGAUAACAGGAUCCUUGCUCUACUCAGUGUCACAAGGAGUGACACAGGACUCUAUGAAUGUCAAAGGAAGAAUGUAGUGAGUACAAGCCACAGUGACCCAGUCACCUGGAUGUUAUGGCCCAGAUGAACCCACAACUUAUCCUUCAGACACCUAUUACUAUCCAGGGUCAAACCUCAACCUCUCCUGCCUCAUGGGCUCUAAUCCAUCAGCAGAGUAUUCUUGGCUGCUGAAUGGGAAUAACCAGCAAACAGGACAAGAGCUCUUUAUCCCCCAAGUCACUACAGAGAAUAGUGGGGACUAUCUGUGUUAUGUCCAUAACCCAGUCACUAAUGGCAAAAACUUCACAACCAAGAAAAUCACA
rnacentral:lncRNA from 1 species